UACGAAGGGGGGCUAGCGUUGUUCGGAAUCACUGGGCGUAAAGGGCGCGUAGGCGGCUUGAUAAGUCGGGGGGUGAAAGCCUGUGGCUCAACCACAGAAUUGCCUUCGAUACUGUCGGGCUUGAGACCGGAAGAGGUAAGUGGAACUGCGAGUGUAGAGGUGAAAUUCGUAGAUAUUCGCAAGAACACCAGUGGCGAAGGCGGCUUACUGGUCCGGUUCUGACGCUGAGGCGCGAAAGCGUGGGGAGCAAACAGG
rnacentral:rRNA from 1 species